AGCUUGCUCUCGGGUGACGAGCGGCGGACGGGUGAGUAAUGUCUGGGAAACUGCCUGAUGGAGGGGGAUAACUACUGGAAACGGUAGCUAAUACCGCAUAAUGUCGCAAGACCAAAGUGGGGGACCUUCGGGCCUCAUGCCAUCAGAUGUGCCCAGAUGGGAUUAGCUAGUAGGUGGGGUAAUGGCUCACCUAGGCGACGAUCCCUAGCUGGUCUGAGAGGAUGACCAGCCACACUGGAACUGAGACACGGUCCAGACUCCUACGGGAGGCAGCAGUGGGGAAUAUUGCACAAUGGGCGCAAGCCUGAUGCAGCCAUGCCGCGUGUAUGAAGAAGGCCUUCGGGUUGUAAAGUACUUUCAGCGAGGAGGAAGGCGUUAAGGUUAAUAACCUUAGUGAUUGACGUUACUCGCAGAAGAAGCACCGGCUAACUCCGUGCCAGCAGCCGCGGUAAUACGGAGGGUGCAAGCGUUAAUCGGAAUUACUGGGCGUAAAGCGCACGCAGGCGGUCUGUUAAGUCAGAUGUGAAAUCCCCGGGCUCAACCUGGGAACUGCAUUUGAAACUGGCAGGCUUGAGUCUUGUAGAGGGGGGUAGAAUUCCAGGUGUAGCGGUGAAAUGCGUAGAGAUCUGGAGGAAUACCGGUGGCGAAGGCGGCCCCC
rnacentral:rRNA from 1 species